GUUGAUUCAACCUUAAGCCGGUGAGCUAACCGUAAGGAGGCAGCCGACCACGGUGGGGUUAAUAACUGGGGUGAAGUCGUAACAAGGUAGCCGUAGGUGAACCUGCAGAAGGAUCA
rnacentral:rRNA from 1 species